rnacentral:rRNA from 1 species
GUUUGACCUCAAAUCAGU